GAGUUUGUUCUUCCAUCCACAAGCAGUUCCUCUGCACUAGUAGAUGAACCACAUCCAGAAUUUUGUUUUAUCAUCGAUGCCUCAGAGAACUGUGAGAUCCAAUCCUUCUCGAUAUCCAUUCAAUAUCAGACGACAAAUCCACGGACGAGGAGGAUUCAGUGGCCUGCUCCUUUUUGCCAACUUUUGCACUACCAUUCACUGCAAUCUGCAUAUAACAAUUUGUGAACUAGUACAUUACAAAUGAAACAAGUAAAGCUGUGAAUAGAGAAAAGGUGAUCAUACAUAGCAAGCAAUGUACCUUCUGGUUUAAAGCCGAGGAAGCGGCAUUUGGGGAA